AGAGUUUGAUCAUGGCUCAGAACGAACGCUGGCGGCAGGCUUAACACAUGCAAGUCGAACGCAUCCUUCGGGGUGAGUGGCAGACGGGUGAGUAACGCGUGGGAACGUGCCCUUCAGUUCGGGAUAACCCAGGGAAACUUGGGCUAAUACCGGAUACGUGCGAGAGCAGAAAGAUUGAUCGCUGAAGGAUCGGCCCGCGUCUGAUUAGCUAGUUGGUGGGGUAAUGGCCCACCAAGGCGACGAUCAGUAGCUGGUCUGAGAGGAUGAUCAGCCACAUUGGGACUGAGACACGGCCCAAACUCCUACGGGAGGCAGCAGUGGGGAAUAUUGGACAAUGGGCGCAAGCCUGAUCCAGCCAUGCCGCGUGAGUGAUGAAGGCCUUAGGGUUGUAAAGCUCUUUCGUCCGGGACGAUAAUGACGGUACCAGAAGAAGAAGCCCCGGCUAACUUCGUGCCAGCAGCCGCGGUA
rnacentral:rRNA from 1 species